rnacentral:rRNA from 1 species
CGGUGGAGCAUGUGGUUUAAUCGAAGCAACGCGUAAGAACCUUUACCAGGUCUUGACAUCCCGAUGCUAUUUCUAGAGAUAGAAAGUUACUUCGGUACAUCGGUGACAGGUGGUGCAUGGUUGUCGUCAGCUCGUGUCGUGAGAUGUUGGGUUAAGUCCCGCAACGAGCGCAACCCCUAUUGUUAGUUGCCAUCAUUCAGUUGGGCACUCUAGCGAGACUGCCGGUAAUAAACCGGAGGAAGGUGGGGAUGACGUCAAAUCAUCAUGCCCCUUAUGACCUGGGCUACACACGUGCUACAAUGGUUGGUACAACGAGUUGCGAGUCGGUGACGGCGAGCUAAUCUCUUAAAGCCAAUCUCAGUUCGGAUUGUAGGCUGCAACUCGCCUACAUGAAGUCGGAAUCGCUAGUAAUCGCGGAUCAGCACGCCCGCGGUCGAAUACGUUCCGGCCUU